rnacentral:tRNA from 1 species
GCCUAGCUGGCUCAGUCGGUAGAGCACGUGGCUCUUGAACUCAAGGUUGUGAGUUUGAGCCCCAUGUUGGGCA